UGGGGGAUUUUCCGCAAUGGGGGCAACCCUGACGGAGCAACGCCGCGUGGGGGAGGAAUGUCUGUGGAUUGUAAACCCCUUUUCUCUGGGAAGAAGGACUGACGGUACCAGAGGAAUCAGCAUCGGCUAACUCCGUGCCAGCAGCCGCGGUAAGACGGAGGAUGCAAGCGUUAUCCGGAAUUAUUGGGCGUAAAGCGUCUGCAGGUGGCUAUGCAAGUCUGCUGAUAAAGAGUGGAGCUCAACUCCAUAAGGGCAGUGGAAACUGCGUAACUAGAGUACGUUCGGGGUAGAGGGAAUUCCUGGUGUAGCGGUGAAAUGCGUAGAUAUCAGGAAGAACACCGGUGGCGAAAGCGCUCUACUAGGCCGUAACUGACACUGAGAGACGAAAGCUAAGGGAGCGAAUGGGAUUAGAUACCCCUGUAGUCC
rnacentral:rRNA from 1 species